UAAAGCGUGCGCAGGCGGUUUUGUAAGACUGUCGUGAAAUCCCCGGGCUCAACCUGGGAAUGGCGAUGGUGACUGCAAGGCUAGAGUUUGGCAGAGGGGGUAGAAUUCCACGUGUAGCAGUGAAAUGCGUAGAUAUGUGGAGGAACACCGAUGGCGAAGGCAGCCCCCUGGGUCAAAACUGACGCUCAUGCACGAAAGCGUGGGGAGCAAACAGGAUUAGAUACCCGGGU
rnacentral:rRNA from 1 species